UUGUCACUGCAGAGGGAGAAAACACAAAAACAAAAUGAAGGCAACUCAACUCAACGACAUCAAGUGCUUCAGUACUGAAGAAGCCACCGCUGGCAUCCCAACCAGCACCAAACCAAGACUGCUGCAAGAUGACCAGUUCCCUGUCCCCAGCCUCAGGGAUUGGUAUUUCUCCCCAGCACAUUCAUAAAAUGGGCUCAAUUCAAGUUCACUGAAGCCAACUCAAGAUUUCUUCUGAGCAGAUGAUCCAACACAAAUAGGGCAAAUACCCCAACACUUUCAAGCGAGGCUGAGCACACAGUUCUCAGCUCUUGCUAACACUGCAGACUGAGAGAUUUCACAAACUGGAAAUCAUGCAUUUUUAUGAUUUUACCAAGAAGUAAACCCAGCCUCCUUUCAUGUUGAGUUUCAAGAAAAAGCUUUAUAGUCCUGACUGGGCCAAAGCUGCCUGCUCCCAGCCACAUCUGCCAUGAAGGCUCAGGAAGGACAUCACACUGACUCCCUCACCUGGGUGUGGGAUGCGUGUAAUGCUGUUUGAGACUGCAGUGUGAAAGCAAGCAAUAAGCCCUGCUAGGAGAAGCAGGGAGGUAAUAAUAAUACAAAACCCAACUGGAAAUGAAGACCUGCAGCAGGAAGCAGUGGUAGCAGAGACGAGUUCCUGCUGAUGGUGGUAGUCACGGCUUCAGCUCUAAUGGCUCUGGGAGCAACCACUGCAGCUGAGCACUCCUCCUUUGAGCACAGGACCAGUAUUUCACAGCAACAUUCAAAGAGCAUUUACUUUUGGGGUCCCUUUUCCCUCCCCCAACCCCAACAGCAAAACAGAAGUCCCAGCACCACCACCUCUGGUUUCCCAUGCUGUCAGAACACAGUGGAGUUUGGACUAUAUUUAGUGCAGCAGAACCAUGUCUGUACAAGUCCUGCACAGAGAAAUCACACUGCUUACAUCGAUAUGCAAACUUCUCUUGCAGGCACAGGGGCACACAGAGUGCACUGUCCCCCCCAGGGGAUGCUCAAGCAUCCCACAGCCAGGUGGACAAGGGUGAGCAGCGCAUUUUAGCUCACCAUGCAUCUGCUGCGUGUGGAGCUGGGCUUCGAGGCAGGAGAGCACAGCGGCCGCUCCCACUUGCUCAACCUCUUUGUCAAGGUAGAUCGAUGCGAAUUACCCAAUUCUCUGUGUUGUUUUUGCUCUGGGGAGCUUUUAAAGGCAGACAGAACACAGCCAGGCUGCUUUUGGGGACCACUCCUGGCGUCCCAGCCAGGUUCUUGUCCCAGGGCCCCCAGCUGGGCACACUGGGGCAGAGGAUCAGCGCCGACCCAUCCGACAGCCCUGACCUGUCUGGCAAGCACCGUUUUGGCACUGCUGAGUUCCCCAUUUCCACCCGUGCUCAGAGGGCAAGCCCAAAUGAACCUGCUGCGAUUGGAGGGUGAUGGCAGCACGGGCUGCCAGCAAAACUUCGUGUUUAUCCCUUCCCUGGUGCUGUGCUGGUGAUCCAGCUCUGCAAGCGUGAGCUUCUUCAACAGCAAACUGCUCACAGAAGGAAAAGGCAACUUUUCAUUGCACGAUAGCCAAGCACGCUGGGGACAAUAAAUCCACAGCAAUUACUUAAAUGCUCUGAAAGCCACUUGGUUCUGGAUGCAACAGACAAGAGGAAUUCAUCAGACUAAUUAAGCCUGCGGGAAGCGAUACUGCUUUGCCCUUGCAUUCCCCAACGAGCCCUGCUGCAGCCCUCACCCACGUGAGCAGCAGGGAGGGAAAACGAGCAAAUCCACAAGGGAAGCUGCUGACUCCAGAGCAGGAGAAAAACAUAUGAACUCAAAAAGAAUGAGCUGGUGAGAGAGCAGAGGCAAGAGUGGAUGCGGGGCAGCAUCAGGACAGGCACCCAAUCUGGGGAGAGCUUCUGCCGUGCAGACUCUGGACACAGUGAGGAAGUGACUCAUGAGCUGGGGGGAUGAAUAAAGAUGUGGGCAGUCAGCACAUCAUCACACACGUCUCCUGCCUCCUCUUCCCACAGCAGUGGAGGCAUCCAACGAGACAAGGAGCAUGGUUGUUUCUGCCACGCUAAGAAGAAAGCCACAAUUGGACAAAGUGCACUCAGAGCAAACUUCGGGACUUUUCAUCCCCACGACGGGGCUGGAAGGCUCUGCUCUUCAGUAUUAUGUUCCAGCACUUCAGCAGAAAAUAAACCAGGCGCAAGAAAAUGGCACUGGCUUAUAAAAGGAGGAAAAAAAAAAA